ensembl:snRNA U6 U6 spliceosomal RNA
GUGCUUGCUUUGGCAGCACAUAUACUAAAGUUGGAACGAUACAGAGAAGAUUAGCAUGGCCCCUGUGCAAGGAUAACUUGCAAAUUCAUUAGCCCUUCCAUAUUUUU